AAUAUUGCACAAUGGGCGAAAGCCUGACGCAGCAACGCCGCGUUAGGGCAGACGGCCUUCGGGUUGUAAACCUUUUUUUGUAGGGAAGUAGCGAAAGAGACGGCACCUGCAGAAAUAGCACCGGCUAACUACGUGCCAGCAGCCGCGGUAAUACGUAGGGUGCAAGCGUUGUCCGGAAUUAUUGGGCGUAAAGAGCUCGUAGGCGGUUUGUCGCGUCUGCUGUGAAAUCUGGGGGCUCAACCCCCAGCCUGCAGUGGGUACGGGCAGACUAGAGUGCGGUAGGGGAGAUUGGAAUUUCUGGUGUAGCGGUGGAAUGCGCAGAUAUCAGGAGGAACACCGAUGGCGAAGGCAGAUCUCUGGGCCGUAACUGACGCUGAGGAGCGAAAGCAUGGGGAGCGAAC
rnacentral:rRNA from 1 species